AACACGUGGGUAACCUGCCUCACAGCUGGGGAUAACAUCGAGAAAUCGAUGCUAAUACCGAAUGUGCUGAACAUCAUAAGAUGUUCAAGUGAAAGACGGUUUCGGCUGUCACUGUGAGAUGGACCCGCGCUGGAUUAGCUAGUUGGUAAGGUAAUGGCUUACCAAGGCGACGAUCCAUAGCCGACCUGAGAGGGUGAUCGGCCACAUUGGGACUGAGACACGGCCCAAACUCCUACGGGAGGCAGCAGUAGGGAAUCUUCGGCAACGGACGAAAGUCUGACCGAGCAACGCCGCGUGAGCGAAGAAGGCCUUCGGGUCGUAAAGCUCUGUUGUUAGAGAAGAACAUGGGUGAGAGUAACUGUUCACCCCUUGACGGUAUCUAACCAGAAAGCCACGGCUAACUACGUGCCAGCAGCCGCGGUAACACGUAGGUGGCAAGCGUUGUCCGGAAUUAUUGGGCGUAAAGCGCGCGCAGGCGGUCUCUUAAGUCUGAUGUGAAAGCCCCCGGCUCAACCGGGGAGGGUCAUUGGAAACUGGGAGACUUGAGGACAGAAGAGGAGAGUGGAAUUCCAAGUGUAGCGGUGAAAUGCGUAGAUAUUUGGAGGAACACCAGUG
rnacentral:rRNA from 1 species